CACAAUCAUCUUGAACAGUCGCCUUCUUUCUCAGCUUUGUAACAGGUUUGGAUACCUUUUUUUAGCAAACACUUUGGCUUUCAUUAUUUCUCAAACAAAUAAACAUCCCUCUCUUCAUCUCUGUUCACAUCACAAUUUGAAAGAAAACACAACUCAUUUCCCCCACUUCCAGAACUCAAUUCAAAUUUUGAAUCCUACUUCUAUCUCUCUUUUUUCGGACUCUCUCUCUCCCUCUGCUAUUCUUCUUUCUCAAAUUUAAUGACUUACAAACCCAGGGACGACAAAGAUCGAUGAAGCAGAGCACACAUUGAUAUGCAGGUAUCUCAUAAAGGAAUGUUCAAAGGGCUUCUCAAAAAGCAAGGUUCACAAAAUUACGGUUUGAUGUGUAAGUUUUCAGAGAUUAAAUAGGUCAGGACUUUAUAUCCAAUACCAAGUAAUUAGUGCACAUAAUGUGCCAUAUACAAGCAGAAAAGCUCGACACGAGCUUGAUAUUGUACCAGUUCUCCAACUACAAGGAAACUCUAGAGUUUGUGGAAGAUUAGCUAAAGCCUGAGUGCAACUAGGAUAGACACAAUUUCUAUUGUAUAUUCAUGAUAUAUUUAUCUCAA